rnacentral:rRNA from 1 species
UGGGGAAUAUUGGUCAAUGGGCGAAAGCCUGAACCAGCAAUGCCGCGUGAGUGAUGAAGGCCUUCGGGUUGUAAAGCUCUGUCAGAGGGAACGAAAAAACUGCGUAACGAGCAGUCUUGACGGUACCCUCAAAGGAAGCACCGGCUAACUCUGUGCCAGCAGCCGCGGUAAUACAGAGGGUGCAAGCGUUGUUCGGAAUUACUGGGCGUAAAGCGCGUGUAGGCGGCUUUGUAAGUCAGACGUGAAAUCCCUCGGCUCAACCGAGGAACUGCGUCUGAUACUGCAUAGCUAGAGUGUCGGAGGGGAUGGUAGAAUUCCUGGUGUAGAGGUGAAAUUCGUAGAUAUCAGGAGGAAUACCUGUGGCGAAGGCGACCAUCUGGAAGACAACUGACGCUGAGAC